CCUAGUUGUGAAAUGGAACUCGGGUACACAUUGUUCAAAGAUGAAAGUCAUCUUUUCAAUUUCAUUCAUUUUUCUUGUUCUCUCAGCCGGUAUUGAAAAUGGAGGGUUAUUAAAAGUUGGGGAAUUAAAAUGGUGUUAUGAGCAACUCUCAUUCUGCCCAGGCACUAACAAGUGCGACAGCGAUUGUAAGAACAAACUUGGAAGGCUAGCAACCGGGACAUGCAAUUUUAUUCUACUCUGUGUGUGUAGUUACCGAUGUUGAAGUUGCAGUACUCCUUUGCCUGCAAUGUUUAUGUUCUCUCUUGAAUAGUUUUAAAUAAUGGGCAGCGGCAAAUUUCAAGAUA